AUCAGUUGUCUCCAUAAUAUUCUUUUUUUUUUUGGUGGUGUUAGAGAUUGAACCCAGGGUCUUGUACAUAUGAGGCAAGCACUCUAUCAACUGAGCUAUAUCCCAGCCACCCUCAGCUCUUUUUUAUAUUUUAUUCUGAGACACUGUCUUGCCAAAUUGCUUGGGGCCUUGCUAAGUUGCUGAGGUUGGCUUUGAACUCAUGAACUCAGCCUCCUGAGCCACUGGGAUUACAGAUGUGUGCCACCACGUUCAGCUAGCCUUUGUUUUUCAUCACAUCAUAUUUUUUAAGAAUAUAGACCAAUUUCAUAGGAUUUCCAUUAAUUGUGGUUUGUCUGAGGUUUCCUUAUGCCAAGAUCAAGAUUACAUUUUUGGUAGGAAUACUACACAAAUAAAUGAUGUGUUUUCAUAUCUGUCUUUUUAAUUAUAGUGUUUUAUAUAACCUCUAAAAAAAAAAAAUCAAUUGCUGGAUGUGAUGGCACACGCCUGUAACCCACAACUUGGGAAGCUGAGCCAGGAGAAUCCCAAGUUCAAGGACAGCCUCAGCAAUUUAGCAAGACUCUAAGCAACUCAGCAAGACCCUGUGUCAAAAUAAGAAACAAAAGGGGCUGGGGAUAUAACUCAGCAGUAAAGCACCUCUGAGUUUGAUCCCCAGUACCAAAAAAAAAAAAAAAAAUUUAAAAAAUCACAACUGUGUUUUUGAGUCAUUUAACAGGUUUUGCAAUAAAUUCACCAUUUUGUUUAUCCUCUGAUUUUGUUUAAUUUGACAUUUAACAGUCUCUACCUAAAAGGUUUUAGAUUUUGAAAUAUCAUAUUUUUAGUUCUGGGUGGACACAAUACCUUUAUUUUAUUUUUAUGUGGUGCUAAGGAUCAAACCCAGUGCCUCACACAUGCUAGUUGAGUGCUCUACCACUUGAGCCACAACCCAGCCCUACAAGUGAGUGUUCUUAUUGUGGAUUAGAAGAAUACAGAGGCUCUGAAGAGUUAAAGAAAUGCAAAUUAUCAAAUUAAUAGUUGAUUUUCCCCUUUAUGUACUACUAUAUUGGAUUAAUUAUAGAUUAGUAGAAGUUUAAAAAGCA
rnacentral:lncRNA from 1 species